rnacentral:rRNA from 1 species
GCCUCAGUAACGGCGAGUGAAGCGGCAAAAGCUCAGAUUUGAAAUCUGGCGNCNGUUUGGCGUCCGAGUUGUAAUCUGUAGAGGAGUAUUCGAGUGUGGCGCUGGCUUAAGUUCCUUGGAACAGGACGUCAUAGAGGGUGAGAACCCCGUUAACGGCCUUUGUCUUAUGCUCAUGUGAAUCUCCUUCAACGAGUCGAGUUGUUUGGGAAUGCAGCUCUAAAUGGGUGGUAAAUUCCAUCUAAAGCUAAAUACUGGCAAGAGACCGAUAGCGCACAAGUAGAGUGAUCGAAAGAUGAAAAGAACUCUGAACAGAGAGUUAAAUAGUACGUGAAAUUGUUGAAAGGGAAGCACUUGCUACCAGACACGCCUGUAGUUGAUCAACUUCCAUUCUUGGUGGUGCACUCAGCUAUAGGUGGGUCAGCAUCAGUUAGGGCGGUGGGAUAAAGACUUGGGGAAUGUGGCUUCUUUCGGGAAGUGUUAUAGCCCUGGGUGUAAUACCAUCUGCUGUGACUGAGGAUCGCGCUUCGGCGAGGAUGCUGGCAUAAUGGUCGUAAGUGACCCGUCUUGAAACACGGACCAAGGAGUCUAACAUCUAUGCGAGUGUUUGGGUGUAAAAACCCUUACGCGGAAUGAAAGUGAACGUAGGUGGGAACCGUGAGGUGCACCAUCGACCGAUCCUGAUGUCUUCGGAUGGAUUUGAGUAGGAGCAUAGCUGUUGGGACCCGAAAGAUGGUGAACUAUGCCUGAAUAGGGUGAAGCCAGAGGAAACUCUGGUGGAGGCUCGCAGCGGUUCUGACGUGCAAAUCGAUCGUCAAAUUUGGGUAUAGGGGCGAAAGACUAAUCGAACCAUCUAGUAGCUGGUUCCGGCCGAAGUUUCCCUCAGGAUAGCAGUAACGAUAAUAGUUUUAUGAGGUAAAGCGAAUGAUUAGAGGCCUUGGGGUUGUAACAACCUUAACCUAUUCUCAAACUUUAAAUAUGUAAGAAGUCCCUGUUGCUUAAUUGAACGCGGACAUUGGAAUAUACGUUACUAGUGGGCCAUUUUUGGUAAGCA